rnacentral:rRNA from 1 species
GUGCACCAGGCGCGAAUUUUUCUCAAUGGGGGAAACCCUGAAGGAGCGACGCCGCGUGGAGGAUGAAGGCUUUCGGGUUGUAAACUCCUGUCAUUUGAGAACAAGUGGCCGAACGUAACUGCUUCGGCCUUGAUAGUAUCAGAAGAGGAAGGGACGGCUAACUCUGUGCCAGCAGCCGCGGUAAUACAGAGGUCUCAAGCGUUGUUCGGAUUCAUUGGGCGUAAAGGGUGCGUAGGUGGCGCCGUAAGUCGGGUGUGAAAUUUCGGAGCUUAACUCCGAAACUGCAUUCGAUACUGCGGUGCUUGAGGACUGGAGAGGAGACUGGAAUUUACGGUGUAGCAGUGAAAUGCGUAGAGAUCGUAAGGAAGACCAGUGGCGAUGGCGGGUCUCUGGACGGUUCCUGACACUGAGGCACGAAGGCCAGGGGAGCAAACGGGAUUAGAUACCCGUGUAGUCCCUGAGACCGUCGACGACGACACACGGAGGUAGA